CCUACGGGGGGCAGUAGUCGAGAAUCAUUCACAAUGGGGGAAACCCUGAUGGUGCGACGCCGCGUGGGGGAAUGAAGGUCUUCGGAUUGUAAACCCCUGUCAUGUGGGAGCAAAUUAAAAAGAUAGUACCACAAGAGGAAGAGACGGCUAACUCUGUGCCAGCAGCCGCGGUAAUACAGAGGUCUCAAGCGUUGUUCGGAAUCACUGGGCGUAAAGCGUGCGUAGGCUGUUUCGUAAGUCGUGUGUGAAAGGCGCGGGCUCAACCCGCGGACGGCACAUGAUACUGCGAGACUAGAGUAAGGGAGGGGGAACCGGAAUGCUCGGUGUAGCAGUGAAAUGCGUAGAUAUCGAGAGGAACACUCGUGGCGAAGGCGGGUUCCUGGACAUUAACUGACGCUGAGGCACGAAGGCCAGGGGAGCGAAAGGGAUUAGAUACCCCUGUAGUC
rnacentral:rRNA from 1 species